AGAAUCAACGCUGGCGGCGUGCCUAACACAUGCAAGUCGCACGAGAAAGGGGGAGCAAUCCCUGAGUAAAGUGGCGCACGGGUGAGUAACACGUGAAUAAUCUACCUCCGAGUGGGGAAUAACUGAGAGAAAUCUUAGCUAAUACCGCAUAACACUUACGAGUCAAAGCAGCAAUGCGCUUGGAGAGGAGUUCGCGGCCGAUUAGUUAGUUGGCGGGUAAUGGCCCACAAGACGAUGAUCGGUA
rnacentral:rRNA from 1 species